GGACUACUGGGGUAUCUAAUCCCAUUCGCGACCCACGCUUUCGUGUUUCAGCGUCAGGAGUGGACCAGUCUGCUGCCUUCGCUUUCGGUGUUCCCCAUGAUAUCAACGCAUUUCACCGCUACACCAUGAGUUCCGCAGACCCCUUCCAUCCUCUUAGUCAUGCCGUUUCCCGCGCGAGCCCUCGGUUGAGCCGAAGGAUUUUACGCGAGACUAACACAACCGCCUACACACCCUUUACGCCCAAUGAUUCCGGAUAACGCUCGAGGCACUCGUAUUACCGCGGCUGCUGGCAC
rnacentral:rRNA from 1 species